GGCCGUGGUGUCUCAGUGGUUAAAGGCUCUGGGUACUGAUUAGAAGGUCAGGAGUUCAAGCCCCAGCACUGCCA